rnacentral:tRNA from 1 species
UGCAGAAUGGAGUAACGGCCAGCUCGCUGGGUUCAUGCCCCGGAAAUGUCGGUUCAAAUCCGGCUUCUGCAA